rnacentral:rRNA from 1 species
AUUGAACGCUGGCGGCAGGCCUAACACAUGCAAGUCGAACGGCAGCACAGAAGAGCUUGCUCUUUGGGUGGCGAGUGGCGGACGGGUGAGUAAUGUCUGGGAAACUGCCCGAUGGAGGGGGAUAACUACUGGAAACGGUAGCUAAUACCGCAUAACGUCGCAAGACCAAAGUGGGGGACCUUCGGGCCUCACACCAUCGGAUGUGCCCAGAUGGGAUUAGCUAGUAGGUGGGGUAAUGGCUCACCUAGGCGACGAUCCCUAGCUGGUCUGAGAGGAUGACCAGCCACACUGGAACGGAGACACGGGCCAGAAUCCUACGGGAGGCAGCAGUGGGGAAUAUUGCACAAUGGGCGCAAGCCUGAUGCAGCCAUGCCGCGUGUAUGAAGAAGGCCUUCGGGUUGUAAAGUACUUUCAGCGGGGAGGAAGGCGGUGAGGUUAAUAACCUUGCCGAUUGACGUUACCCGCAGAAGAAGCACCGGCUAACUCCGUGCCAGCCGCCGCCGUAA